rnacentral:rRNA from 1 species
AUUGAACGCUGGCGGCAGGCCUAACACAUGCAAGUCGAACGAGUGGCGGACGGGUGAGUAGUGUCUGGGAAUCCGCCCGAUGGAGGGGUAUAACUAGUGGAAAUGAUAGCUAAUACCGCAUACCAUGGGAUGUCCCCAGAUGGGAUUAGCUAGUAGGUGGGGUAACGGCUCACCUAGGCGACGAUCCCUAGCUGGUCUGAGAGGAUGACCAGCCACACUGGAACUGAGACACGGUCCAGACUCCUACGGGAGGCAGCAGUGGGGAAUAUUGCACAAUGGGCGCAAGCCUGAUGCAGCCAUGCCGCGUGUAUGAAGAAGGCCUUCGGGUUGUAAAGUACUUUCAGCGAGGAGGCGUUACUCGCAGAAGAAGCACCGGCUAACUCCGUGCCAGCAGCCGCGGUAAUUC